UACGAAGGGGGCGAGCGUUGUUCGGAUUUACUGGGCGUAAAGCGCGUGUAGGUGGUGGGACAAGUCUGCUGUGAAAGCGCCUGGCUUAACCGGGCGAGGUCGGCGGAAACUGCCUCACUUGAGGACGGUAGAGGGGGGUGGAAUUCCCGGUGUAGUGGUGAAAUGCGUAGAGAUCGGGAGGAACACCUGUGGCGAAGGCGGCCCCCUGGGCCGGCCCUGACACUGAGACGCGAAGGCGUGGGGAGCGAACAGG
rnacentral:rRNA from 1 species